CUCGUGUUGUGAGUAUCCACUUUAAAUGCAGUGUGUCUCUAAUCAUCUCUACGUUAGCAGCUCGUCUCUCCAGUAAAUUGUGUAUCACAGUAAAAAGUAAUCUCUCGCAGUUCUUGUGUAUUUUUCAUCAUGUUUGGUACAAUACCGCGAACCUUGAAUAACACCGUGAGACCCAUAGGAAGUGCCACUAGUGAUGCUGGAAGUGAUCCCAAGAACCAGAGAAAAGUCACGACAUUACAAGAAAAAGCUAAAUUGUCUGAUACGUGACAUAGAUUGAGGUCUGCGGCUGUGGUUGCCUACCAUUUCAGACGGAAGUUGCAUCUUGUAAACAGACAAGAGAUCAGAAUUUACUAUAAGCAGAAAGGAAGUAGCCAUUUGGGAUGGAAUGACUGAAGAGCAAGAUCAAUUUCCAUAAGAAGAUGAUGAUAUAAAAACAUAAGAUAAGGUAGGUGUUAAGCCUGACAAUGAGAAGAAGAAACUUCUCUCCAGAGUACCAGUGUGAAGAAAGAAAUAGAGAAUGAUGGUAAACAGAUGUGAAGAGGAAUGGAGAAAACACCUUUGAAAGGUUCAAGGAAGAUUGCUGGGGUUAAUGUGAGUAACUGAAAGUGUUGUAUCAAGAUCGUCCCUCCAAUCUGGUUCUGAUAUUCUCAUAUUUGAGAGAGGCUACAAUACAGGACAAGGCACUAAAGCUCAGUUCCACUAGUAUCUCUCUAGGACCUUGCGAGCACAAGAUGGCACCGCUGAGUUCAGCAGCAAAGACCUAGCAGGUUUAGAACAAGAUAGACAAAACCAAAUGGUAAAAUAUAUUAAACUGGUGAAGAACACAUAUUGGAAAGUGUAUUUCCCAUUUAAAAAAUUCAGGUUCACAAUCUUAAAAUAUCUAACUAAAGAAAAAAGCACAACAACAACAACAACAAAAUGGCACUACUAUCAACAAAAUCUUUGGCCUGGAUGUAAUCUGUGAGCCACCAAUUUUCAGCCACACUUCUGGAAGGAAAGAUGACUGUGAGGUCAGCCUGGGAGAAAGCAGCAGCAUUCACAGCUUUGGCUUCAUGUACCUGUAGCUUUGUGUAGAAUUCCCUCCCCCUAUCAUCUUUGGUUUUCAACAACCAAAGAUUGGACAAACAGAAGCCAGCAUGACAGGCUGAAUCAAGACUUAUUUUAGUAUUCUCAGGGUCAGGAUAUGUUUGUGGAGGGUGAGGCUUGUCAGAAGGUUGCAAUGCACUAAAACAAGGGUUCUUCCAAGAAGUUAUCCAAAGGCCAAAGAGAAACCAUUAUCAGGUCAUCUGCAUAAAGGAGUUAGGCAGGACAGAAUAAUGCUUAGGCAGCAAUGGUUGGAAAUCAAAGGAGGGAGAUUAGAGAAACAAGAGUACAGAGCUCAGGAAGGGAGGUCUUUUUGAGAAAUUUGGCCAUUGCUGGAACCUAGUAAGGCAUGUUAGAGGACAUCUAUCCACUUUUUGUAUCUUUAAAGUGGAGUUUUUAGGGGAAGAUAACACUUUCUCUAACAUAUCAGAUCAAGGCCAUUCCCAUCUUUCUUUCAACAUGCCCUAGAGGCUUGAGAGCAGGUAUCUGUGCUGAAAGUUUAAGAAGAAAAGGAGGAAAAUGCUGGACACCAGGUGGCACUAUGGUGUACCGCCUGUAGGAUUUCCAGGUGUAGUAAAGAAAUUUGAAAAGGCUGUAGACCACAUGAAGCCUUUAGGAACGGAUGGAGAGCAGAGGUAUUAUGUUUCCUGCUUAACUCCAGGAAGCUGCACCCUAGGGAAGAAGCAUGGUUACAUUUCAACAGGGAUUAGAAAAUUCAAGCUGAGUAGGAGGCCUUGAAAGAUGGGUUUAUGACAGGGGAGGAAAUUGUAAAAUAUGCAAAAUUUAAUUGCGGAAAGUUGUUGAACUAAUCUUGCCUAAGGGGCAAGUGGAGUAUUAGAAACGCCUUGCUUUGAAAAUCUAACUUGUUGGGUAAUUCACAACUUGAAAGGCGAGACAUUUUGUUUUGUUUCGGUUUUUAGACUAUAUUAAGGAUAGGAAGAUAAUUAGACCUAUUUUAUGAAUCACUGCUAAAUAAUGUUAAAUGAAACAAUGUACAUAAAGUGGUUGAAACAUUGUAGGUAUUCAAUAAUUAAUGCAUAUUUAUAGUAGUAUUGCUGAAUGCCAUUAUUGCCAUUUAAAAAAUAUGAUGCUUAUGGUUAAAUACAAAAAAAAAAAAAAUGUCCAGGACUAUACCAUUAGUGCUGCACUGGUUAAUUUGUCAUACAGCCACUGUUUGUUUUGGUUUGUUCCUAUUUUGAAACUAAUUCAUACUGAAAUUUGGAUUGAAUUCUUGGCAUCACAAAUUACACAAUGUGUCUCAGGCUCUAAAGAGGCCUUAACAGGGUGCAGGGCUCAUCAUGUCUAGUUGUUACAAUAUAGCAAAAUAAAUAUUAUGGUAAGACAUUAGGCCAGAGAUAGUAAUGCUCACCAAACACGGUGUUUGUUACCCUUAAUUUCUCAGCAAACUUAAUGAGUUAGGAACAUAUCAACAAUUCUGGCAACUGUUCUAUGGUCAUAACUGAUUUCUGGGUCAAAGCACAGAAGUGCAGUUUGCAAAACUCUAAUCAACCAUGCAUUUAACACCAUGAGAGUUAUUGGUAAACUCGAUGAAAAUAGUUUUAGGAAUAGAAAGGAACUGGAGAAAUUGCAGACAUACAGACAAUUCUUUGAAGGAGUUUUUUAUUGUGAAGGGGAGCAGAGAAACGAACAGUAGCAAUUUUGGAAAGAGAGAUCAAAAGAUUAUUAUUUUUUAACUACAAGGGAAGUAUCAUGUUAUAUUCUGGUGGAAAUUAUUCAGUAGAGAAGGUCAAAUAAAGAAAACUAGUAGAUAAAAGCAAAUAAUUUCCAGAUCCAUGUUCUUGAGCAGGCAGGAGAGGUGGGUUCAGGAGUCCAGCAGAGGGAUUGGCCUACAGAUCACUGACAGUUCAACUAUAGGAGGAAGGAAGGAAGAGUGGAUGGGUACAGGUUCUAGUUAGAGGGGAUGCUCUUCAUUUAAUGGGUAUUCACACCAAUGUACUUUUUAGUAAUGAGCUUUAGUAGUAUUUUUAAAAUAUACUUUGAUUUACACAAAACAAAGAUGAAUUUUAGAUAUAAAAUGAGCUACCUAUUAAGAGUAAGGAAUUUUAAAUGUAAUAAAAUUUUAGAGCUAAAUAUUAUUGUCUUCCCUUGAAAAGGGAAAAAAUUAAUUGGGAUUGUUAAUAAUAAGUUAUUCCACAAGUAGCCAUACUCUCUGGAAAAGUUUUUCCAGCUCAGUGUUUGCUGUAUAGAUCAGGGUUUGGCAAACUACAACCUUUGGGUCAAAUUGGACCGACAUGUGUUUAUAGAAAUAAGGAUGUAUUGUAACACAGCCAUGUUCAUUCAUUUACUAUUGUCACUAGCUGUUUUCAUGCUACAAAGGCAAAGUUGGG
rnacentral:lncRNA from 10 species